AGUCAAUUUUUUUCAAAAAAAAAAAGGUGUUUCGGAAGUGAAUCUCUGAAACUAAUUUUUUUCUUCAUAAAAAGUGGUCUUCGGAGAUUCAUUUCCGAAACAAAGCUGCAUUAUGAGAAUUUUGCUACGGGUGAGCAAAAGGACAAAGGGGUCUACAAAGAAAAUCUCAUAAUCUACAAUAUAAGAAAGUUUAUGGGUCUGGAAAUACCAAAAUUGCUCUGCUUGCUCACUAGCGCUCCACGUGGAUAGCUUCUCCAGCCUUCCUUCUUUUAGAUUUUACAAAAGCACUGCUUGGAUGCAAAGAAAAUGUUCAAGAUUUCUUAGGGUUUGUGCAAUAGAAGAUGCAGAUGAACAAAUAGAUAAACAAAGGUGAUAAAAUAUUGUAGCUUGAUAGAAUUUAUGGGGAGCUGUUGAAAUUGCUAAAGUGUCCACAUGCUAUUACUUAUGUUCUGCCUGCUAAAAAAAGCAGGAAAUAAGAAGCAACAACACAAAGGUACAUACUGAUACCUACAAAAAAUAAAGCUCUUAUUUUGAUGACUAUAUUUAGAAAGUUGUUCUGAGGAAGAAGAAAAUCCAAGAAAUCAAUGAACAAGUUGUGGAAGAAUAUUGAUGGAGAGAAAUAUUAAUGAAGGAUAUUGAUGAGUAAAAAUAUUUGUUGAAAUUAAAUACACUUAAAUGUCAUUAAUUUUUCAUAAUCUUUUUUAUAAUACUAAUUUAAUUUUGAUUAAUAAUAUACAAAUUUGUUUAUGUUAUAUAA